rnacentral:rRNA from 1 species
AACGAACGCUGGCGGCAGGCCUAACACAUGCAAGUCGAGCGAGAAGCAAUCUUCGGAUUGUGGGCAGCGGCGGACGGGUGAGUAACGCGUGGGAACAUGCCCUAUGGUGGGGGACAACUGUUGGAAACGACAGCUAAUACCGCAUAAGCCCUGAGGGGGAAAGAUUUAUCGCCAUAGGAUUGGCCCGCGUUAGAUUAGGUAGUUGGUGGGGUAAAGGCCUACCAAGCCUACGAUCUAUAGCUGGUUUGAGAGGAUGAUCAGCCACACUGGGACUGAGACACGGCCCAGACUCCUACGGGAGGCAGCAGUGGGGAAUAUUGCACAAUGGGGGAAACCCUGAUGCAGCCAUGCCGCGUGAGUGAAGAAGGCCUUAGGGUCGUAAAGCUCUUUCGCCAGGGAAGAUAAUGACUGUACCUGGUAAAGAAGCACCGGCUAACUCUGUGCCAGCAGCCGCGGUAAUACAGAGGGUGCGAGCGUUAAUCGGAAUUACUGGGCGUAAAGCGUACGUAGGCGGAUUAGUAAGUUAGGGGUGAAAUCCCGAGGCUCAACCUCGGAACUGCCUCUUAAACUCCUGGUCUUGAGUUCGAGAGAGGUGAGUGGAAUUCCAAGUGUAGAGGUGAAAUUCGUAGAUAUUUGGAGGAACACCAGUGGCGAAGGCGGCUCACUGGCUCGAUACUGACGCUGAGGUACGAAAGUGUGGGGAGCAAACAGGAUUAGAUACCCUGGUAGUCCACACCGUAAACGAUGAAUGCCAGACGUCGGGUAGCAUGCUAUUCGGUGUCACACCUAACGGAUUAAGCAUUCCGCCUGGGGAGUACGGUCGCAAGAUUAAAACUCAAAGGAAUUGACGGGGGCCCGCACAAGCGGUGGAGCAUGUGGUUUAAUUCGAAACAACGCGCAGAACCUUACCAACCCUUGACAUGGGUAUCGCGGAUUCCAGAGAUGGAUUCCUUCAGUUCGGCUGGAUACCACACAGGUGCUGCAUGGCUGUUGUCAGCUCGUGUCGUGAGAUGUUCGGUUAAGUCCGGCAACGAGCGCAACCCACGUCCUUAGUUACCAGCAUUCAGUUGGGUACCCUAGGGAGACCGCCGGUGAUAAGCCGGAGGAAGGUGUGGAUGACGUCAAGUCCUCAUGGCCCUUACGGGUUGGGCUACACACGUGCUACAAUGGUAAUGACAAUGGGUUAAUCCCAAAAAAUCGUCUCAGUUCGGAUUGUCCUCUGC